AGAGUUUGAUCAUGGCUCAGGAUGAACGCUGGCGGCGUGCCUAACACAUGCAGGUCGAACGGACCUUUUACAGACUGCGAUUCGUCAAAGGAAGUUCAAGGUUAGUGGCGGACGGGUGAGUAACGCGUGGGUAACCUGCCUCGUAGAGGGGGAUAACAGUUGGAAACGAUUGCUAAUACCGCAUAAGCCCACAGGACCGCAUGGUCCAGGGGGAAAAGAUUCAUCGCUACGAGAUGGACCCGCGUUUGAUUAGUUAGUUGGCGGUGUAACGGACCACCAAGACGACGAUCAAUAGCCGGACUGAGAGGUUGAACGGCCACAUUGGGACUGAGACACGGCCCAAACUCCUACGGGAGGCAGCAGUGGGGAAUAUUGCACAAUGGGGGAAACCCUGAUGCACGACGCCGCGUGGGUGAAGAAGUUUUCGGAAUGUAAAGCCCUAUCACAGGGAANAAAAUGACGGUCCUGCUAAAAACCCCGCUACUACGUGCCACAGCCGNGGUAUACGGGGGCAAGCCGUAUCCGAUUUACUGGUGUAAAGGGANCNCA
rnacentral:rRNA from 1 species